rnacentral:misc_RNA from 1 species
GAUGAAGAACGCAGCGAAAUGCGAUAAGUAAUGUGAAUUGCAGAAUCCAGUGAAUCAUCGAAUCUUUGAACGCGCAUUGCGCCCGCCAGUAUUCUGGCGGGCAUGCCUGUCCGAGCGUCAUUUCAACCAUCAAGCCCCAGGCUUGUGUUGGGGACCUGCGUCCGACGCAGGCCCUGAAAACCAGUGGCGGGCUCGCUGUCCACACCGAGCGUAGUAACUAACCUCGCUACGGGAGCGGCGCGGGCGCCUGCCGUAAAACCCCCAAUUUUCACAAGGUUGACCUCGGAUCAGGUAGGAAUACCCGCUGAACUUAAGCAUAUCAAUAAGCGGAGGA